rnacentral:rRNA from 1 species
AUUGAACGCUGGCGGAAUGCUUUACACAUGCAAGUCGAACGGCAGCACGGACUUCGGUCUGGUGGCGAGUGGCGAACGGGUGAGUAAUGUAUCGGAACGUGCCCAGUCGUGGGGGAUAACGUAGUGAAAAUUACGCUAAUACCGCAUACGAUCUAUGGAUGAAAGCGGGGGAUCGCAAGACCUCGCGCGAUUGGAGCGGCCGAUAUCAGACUAGGUAGUUGGUGGGGUAAAGGCCCACAAAGCCAACGAUCUGUAGCUGGUCUGAGAGGACGACCAGCCACACUGGAACUGAGACACGGUCCAGACUCCUACGGGAGGCAGCAGUGGGGAAUUUUGGACAAUGGGCGAAAGCCUGAUCCAGCCAUUCCGCGUGCAGGAUGAAGGCCCUCGGGUUGUAAACUGCUUUUGUACAGAACGAAAAGGUUUCUACUAAUACUAGGAGCUCAUGACGGUACUGUAAGAAUAAGCACCGGCUAACUACGUGCCAGCCGCCGCGGUAA